rnacentral:rRNA from 1 species
AUUGAACGCUGGCGGCAGGCCUAACACAUGCAAGUCGAGCGGCAGCGGGAAAGUAGCUUGCUACUUUUGCCGGCGAGCGGCGGACGGGUGAGUAAUGCCUGGGAAAUUGCCCAGUCGAGGGGGAUAACAGUUGGAAACGACUGCUAAUACCGCAUACGCCCUACGGGGGAAAGCAGGGGACCUUCGGGCCUUGCGCGAUUGGAUAUGCCCAGGUGGGAUUAGCUAGUUGGUGAGGUAAUGGCUCACCAAGGCGACGAUCCCUAGCUGGUCUGAGGGGAUGAUCAGCCACACUGGAACUGAGACACGGUCCAGACUCCUACGGGAGGCAGCAGUGGGGAAUAUUGCACAAUGGGGGAAACCCUGAUGCAGCCAUGCCGCGUGUGUGAAGAAGGCCUUCGGGUUGUAAAGCACUUUCAGCGAGGAGGAAAGGUUGUUGGCUAAUACCCAACAGCUGUGACGUUACUCGCAGAAGAAGCACCGGCUAACUCCGUGCCAGCCGCCGCAGUAACAC